rnacentral:rRNA from 1 species
CAGUCGCCACGGUAAUACAGAGGGUGCGAGCGUUAAUCGGAUUUACUGGGCGUAAAGCGUGCGUAGGCGGCUUCUUAAGUCGGAUGUGAAAUCCCUGAGCUUAACUUAGGAAUUGCAUUCGAUACUGGGAAGCUAGAGUAUGGGAGAGGAUGGUAGAAUUCCAGGUGUAGCGGUGAAAUGCGUAUAGAUCUGGAGGAAUACCGAUGGCGAAGGCAGCCAUCUGGCCUAAUACUGACGCUGAGGUACGAAAGCAUGGGGAGCAAACAGGAUUAGAGACCCCGGUAGUCCCUGUCUCUUAUAC